GUGCUCACUUCAGCAGCACAUAUACUGAAAUUGGAAUGAGACAGAGAAGAUUAGCAUGGCCCCUGCACAAGGAUGACAUGCAAAAUUCCUGAAGCGUCCAUAUUUUUU
rnacentral:snRNA from 1 species